GACGAACGCUGGCGGCGUGCUUAACACAUGCAAGUCGAACGAAAAUACCAAGCUUGCUUGGUUGCUUAGUGGCGAACGGGUGAGUAACACGUGAGUAACCUGCACCUUACUUUCCUGGAUAACCGCACGAAAGGGUAGCUAAUACGGGAUAUUCUGACCAGCCUGCAUGGGUGGGUGCGGAAAGGUUGUUUUUCGGGUAAGGGAUGGGCUCGCGGCCUAUCAGCUUGUUGGUGGGGUGAUGGCCUAACAAGGCGUUGACGGGUAGACGGCCUGCGAGGGCGGACGGUCGCACGGGGAGUUGGAUACGGCCCAGACUCCUACGGGAGGCAGCAGUGGGGAAUAUUACGCAAUGGGCGCAAGUCUGAUGCAACGGCGCCGCGUGAGAGAUAGAGGCCUUCGGGUUGUAAACCUCUUUCGUCAGGGAACAAGGCACUUCUUUUUUGAUGGUGUUGAGGGUACCGGGAUAAGAAGCGCCGGCUAACUACGUG
rnacentral:rRNA from 1 species